rnacentral:rRNA from 1 species
CCUACGGGGUGCAGCAGUGGGGAAUAUUGGACAAUGGGCGAAAGCCUGAUCCAGCCAUGCCGCGUGUGUGAAGAAGGCCUUCGGGUUGUAAAGCACUUUCAGUGGGGAAGAAAGCCUUGGGGCUAAUACCCUCGAGGAAGGACAUCACCCACAGAAGAAGCACCGGCUAACUCCGUGCCAGCAGCCGCGGUAAUACGGAGGGUGCGAGCGUUAAUCGGAAUUACUGGGCGUAAAGCGCGCGUAGGCGGUCUGAUAAGCCGGUUGUGAAAGCCCCGGGCUCAACCUGGGAACGGCAUCCGGAACUGUCAGGCUAGAGUGCAGGAGAGGAAGGUAGAAGUCCCGGUGUAGCGGUGAAAUGCGUAGAGAUCGGGAGGAAUACCAGUGGCGAAGGCGGCCUUCUGGACUGACACUGACGCUGAGGUGCGAAAGCGUGGGUAGCAAACAGGAUUAGAUACCCCAGUAGUC